UUGAUCAUGGCUCAGAUUGAACGCUGGCGGCGGGCCUAUCACAUGCAAGUCGAGCGGAAACGAUCCUAGCUUGCUAGGAGGCGUCGAGCGGCGGACGGGUGAGUAAUGCAUGGGAAUCUGCCCGGUAGUGGGGGAUAACUUGAGGAAACUCAAGCUAAUACCGCAUACGCCCUACGGGGGAAAGCAGGGGCUCUUCGGACCUUGCGCUAUCGGAUGAGCUUAUGUCGGAUUAGCUAGUUGGUGAGGUAAUGGCUCACCAAGGCGACGAUCCGUAGCUGGUCUGAGAGGAUGAUCAGCCACAUCGGGACUGAGACACGGCCGGAACUCCUACGGGAGGCAGCAGUGGGGAAUAUUGGACAAUGGGGGCAACCCUGAUCCAGCCAUGCCGCGUGUGUGAAGAAGGCCCUCGGGUUGUAAAGCACUUUCAGCGAGGAAGAAUGCUUGUCGGUUAAUACCCGGCAAGGGAGACAUCACUCGCAGAAGAAGCACCGGCUAACUCCGUGCCAGCAGCCGCGGUAAUACGGAGGGUGCGAGCGUUAAUCGGAAUUACUGGGGCGUAAAGCGUGCGUAGGCGGCUUGAUAAGCCGGUUGUGAAAGCCCCGGGGCUCAACCUGGGAACGGCAUCCGGAAC
rnacentral:rRNA from 1 species